GAAGGUGUUGCCGGGCAGUGGUGGCACA
rnacentral:piRNA from 1 species